CUACACAUGCAGUCGAACGAGAAAGUCCUUCGGGAUGAGUACAGUGGCGCACGGGUGAGGAACGCGUAGGUAACCUACCCUCCGGCGGGGGACAACACUCCGAAAGGAAUGCUAAUACCGCAUAAGACCACACUCACCACGGUGAGAGUGGUAAAAGGUGGCCUCUUCUUGAAAGCUACCACCGGGGGAUGGGCCUGCGUCCCAUCAGCUUGUUGGUGAGGUAAUGGCUUACCAAGGCGAAGACGGGUAGCUGGUCUGAGAGGAUGAUCAGCCACACUGGCACUGGAACACGGGCCAGACUCCUACGGGAGGCAGCAGUGAGGAAUAUUGGGCAAUGGGCGAAAGCCUGACCCAGCCACGCCGCGUGUGAUGAAGGCCUUCGGGUCGUAAAGCACUGUGGGGAGAGACGAAAAACCUCCGUUCGAAUAGGGCGGAGACUUGACGGUACCUCCUUAGCAAGCACCGGCUAACUCUGUGCCAGCAGCCGCGGUAAUACAGAGGGUGCGAACGUUGCUCGGAUUUACUGGGCGUAAAGCGCGUGUAGGCGGGCUGGCAAGUCGGUUGUGAAAUCCCUGGGCUCAACCUAGGAACUGCAUCCGAAACUGCUUGUCUUGAGUAGUAGAGAGGGUGGCGGAAUUCCCGGUGUAGAGGUGAAAUUCGUAGAUAUCGGGAGGAACAUCAGUGGCGAAGGCGGCCACCUGGAUACUUACUGACGCUGAGACGCGAAAGCGUGGGGAGCAAACAGGAUUAGAUACCCUGGUAGUCCACGCCGUAAACGAUGAGCACUAGGUGCAGCGGAUAUUGACCUCUGCUGUGCCGUAGCUAA
rnacentral:rRNA from 1 species